AGGUCGUAACAGGUCUCCGUUGGUGAACCAGCGGAGGGAUCAUUACAGAGUUGAAAAACUCCAAACCCACUGUGAAUAUACCUCUGUUCCUUCGGUAGGCGGCCCCCGGGGGGGCUCUGCCGUGACCGGCGCCUGCCGAGGGGCAAACCAAACUCUUGCUACUUUUAGUGUUACCUCUGAGCAAAUGAAAAAAUAAGUCACAACUUUCAACAACGGAUCUCUUGGUUCUGGCAUCGAUGAAGAACGCAGCGAAAUGCGAUAAGUAAUGUGAAUUGCAGAAUUCAGUGAAUCAUCGAAUCUUUGAACGCACAUUGCGCCCGUCAGUAUUCUGGCGGGCAUGCCUGUUCGAGCGUCAUUACGCCCCUCAAGUCCCCUGUGGACUUGGUGUUGGGGAUCGGCGAGGCCGGUUUUCCAGCACAGCCGUCCCUUAAAUUAAUUGGCGGUCUCGCCGUGGCCCUCCUCUGCGCAGUAGUAAAACACUCGCAACAGGAGCCCGGCGCGGUCCACUGCCGUAAAACCCCCCAACUUUUUAUAGUUAACCUCGAAUCAGGUAGGACUACCCGCUGAACUUAA
rnacentral:rRNA from 1 species